rnacentral:rRNA from 1 species
AUUGAACGCUGGCGGCAUGCCUUACACAUGCAAGUCGAACGGCAGCACGGGGGCAACCCUGGUGGCGAGUGGCGAACGGGUGAGUAAUACAUCGGAACGUGCCCAGUAGUGGGGGAUAGCUCGGCGAAAGCCGGAUUAAUACCGCAUACGACCUACGGGUGAAAGCGGGGGACCGCAAGGCCUCGCGCUAUCGGAGCGGCCGAUGUCAGAUUAGGUAGUUGGUGGGGUAAAGGCCUACCAAGCCGACGAUCUGUAGCUGGUCUGAGAGGACGACCAGCCACACUGGGACUGAGACACGGCCCAGACUCCUACGGGAGGCAGCAGUGGGGAAUUUUGGACAAGGGGGGCAACCCUGAUCCAGCCAUGCCGCGUGCGGGAAGAAGGCCUUCGGGUUGUAAACCGCUUUUGUCGGGGAAGAAAUCUCUCAGGCUAAUACCUUGGGAGGAUGACGGUACCCGAAGAAUAAGCACCGGCUAACUACGUGCCAGCCGCCGCCGUAA